rnacentral:lncRNA from 1 species
CAGAACACCGUCGAAUUCCUCGUAGUCACCACACCUUUGUGAUUCCUGAACCUGGAGGGGCGCAAAACCAAAAUUGAGUGGGUCAGUAAAACAAUUCUUUUCCAAAUCCAAACAUUUUUCAAAACGUUGUAACCCCUCUCCGUAAAACCUGUAUAUUUUCCCAGAAAUGUAAAAUAUAAAUAUACAUAUAUAUUCUCAAAACUUCAUUUUUACUAUCUCAACAUUAUCUCUUUAUCAAUCAUGCCAUGCCAUGUCAUCUCAACAUUUCUCAUAUUAAUUAUGCCAUGCCACAUCAUCUCAACAGUAAUAAGGUAUGAAUGCAUCAACAUAAUCAUAUCAGGUGCAAGAAAGUAAUCAACCGUAGGCCCUCUAAUAGCCCUAUACGGUUGAACCUAGAGCUCAAAAUCUAUCAUUAUCACUCUACCGGAGUCACCUCUGUGACCCGUCCGGCCUUCUGCACACAAGUUACGCUCUAGUGCUUCUCAUAAAUCAUCUGUGCACAUAAUCUAAGGUCAACAAUACCAAUGUGUUCGUAUGGUCCUCACGAACAUGAUGGUACCUUCCUCAUCCUGAAACUGUGAAGUUUUCGAGAGCCUUGGUGUUUGUCCGAGAGUUUGAGAGAGAAUGAGGGAGUGUGAGAGUGACUGAGGGAGAGAUGAGGAAGAGAGAGAGAAGGAGACAACAAAACGGGAAAUGGGGAAGGAUUUCAGGAGGUAGGACCCUACAUAAAGUCCAAAUACAAAAUAUUAACACAUACAAUAAUAAAUCUAACCCUAGUUUAGGAUGUUUUUAGGUAAGUUUUACUUCGGAAAACCUAGAUUCUAAACUCCCCGUGAAAGUGCACUGUUCAUGAU